rnacentral:rRNA from 1 species
UACGGAGGAUGCGAGCGUUAUCCGGAUUUAUUGGGUUUAAAGGGUGCGUAGGCGGCCGAGUAAGUCAGCGGUGAAAUUUUGCAGCUUAACUGUAACAGUGCCGUUGAUACUGCAUGGCUAGGAUUUGGUUGCUGUGGGUGGAAUGUGUGGUGUAGCGGUGAAAUGCUUAGAUAUCACACAGAAUAUCAAUUGCGAAGGCAGCUCACAAAGCCAAGAUUGACGCUGAGGCACGAAGGUGUGGGGAUCAAACA